UACGUAGGGUGCAAGCGUUGUCCGGAAUUAUUGGGCGUAAAGAGCCUCGUGAGCGGUCUGUCGCGUCUGCUGUGAAAACUCAGGCUUAACCCUGAGCUUGCAGUGGGUACGGGCAGACUAGAGUGCGGUAGGGGAGACUGGAAUUCCUGGUGUAGCGGUGAAAUGCGCAGAUAUCAGGAAGAACACCCGUGGCGAAGGCGGCUCUCUGGGACG
rnacentral:rRNA from 1 species